GAACCUGCGCCGAAAAUAAUCGGGGCUAAAACACACCACCGAAGCUACGGAUUUCCUGCUUAAGGUAGGAAGUGGUAGAGGAGCAUACUGCAAGGACGAAGCCUGAUUGAGAGAGAAGGUGGACGAAGCAGUAGAGAGAAUGCCGGAAUGAGUAGCGAGAUAUAUGUGAGAACCAUAUAGGCCGAAUAUCUAAGGAUUCCUGAGUGAAGCUAAUCUGCUCAGGGUAAGUCGGGACCUAAGGCGAGGACGAGAGUCGUAGUCGAUGGACAACUGGUAGAGAUUCCAGUACUAUGUAUAAUCAGAACUGUGGGGACGCAGGAGGAUAGAUGGACCGCGGAAAGGGAAGACGCGGCCAAGUACAAAGUCAAGUUAGGUAGGCAAAUCCGCCAAACGAUGAUGAAGUACGACGGGGACUGAAAGAAAGUAAGGAAGUCAUUGAAUCCACACUGCCGAGAAAAGCCGCUAUAGUGUUAUACAUACCCGUACCGUAAACCGACACAGGUAGAUGAGGAGAAAAUCCACAGGCCGACGGGAGAAGUGUUGUUAAGGAACUCGGCAAAAUGACCCCGUAACUUAGGGAGAAGGGGAGCCACGAGAGUGGUCACAGAAAAGAGGCUCAAGCAACUGUUUAGCAAAAACACAGGUCUCUGCGAAACCGAAAGGUGAAGUAUAGGGGCUGACACCUGCCCGGUGCUGGAAGGUUAAAAGGAGAGGUUAGCCGCAAGGCGAAGCUUUGAAUUCAAGCCCCAGUAAACGGCGGCCGUAACUAUAACGGUCCUAAGGUAGCGAAAUUCCUUGUCAGGUAAGUUCUGACCCGCACGAAAGGUGUAAUGAUUUGAGCACUGUCUCGACAACACGCCCGGUGAAAUUGAAGAACCAGUGAAGAUACUGGUUACCCGCAACAGGACGGAAAGACCCCAUGGAGCUUUACUGCAGCCUGAUACUGGGAUUCGAUGAUGUAUGUACAGGAUAGGAGGGAGACAGAGAAGGUAGGACGCCAGUCUUGCCGGAGUCGCCGGUGGGAUACCUCUCUUACAUCAUUGGAUUUCUAACCUGCAUCCGUGAACCGGAUGAGGGACAAUGUCAGGCGGGGAGUUUGACUGGGGCGGUCGCCUCCAAAAGAGUAACGGAGGCGCUCAAAGGUCUUCUCAGAAUGAUUGGAAACCAUUCAAAGAGUGUAAAGGCAAAAGAAGGCUUGACUGCGAGGUCGACGGACCGAGCAGGUACGAAAGUAGGACUUAGUGAUCCGGU
rnacentral:rRNA from 1 species